AGGAUGAACGCUGGCGGCGUGCCUAACACAUGCAAGUCGAACGUCCUGUCUCGCAAGAGGCAGGGAGUGGCGGACGGGUGAGUACCACGUGGGUCAUCUACCGUGAGGUGAGGAAUACCGGCGAGAAAUCGCCGACAAGACCGCAUAGGCUCGAUGCAAGUCGAGCAAAGCUCUUUCGAGAGAGGGAGCGCCACACGAGGAGCCUGCGCCCGAUUAGCUAGCUGGUGGAGUAACGGUUCACCAGGGCGACGAUCGGUAGCUGGUCUGAGAGGACGAUCAGCCACACUGGGAUUGAGAACGGCCCAGACUCCUACGGGGGGCAGCAGUGAGGAAUUUUCGUCAAUGGGGGCAACCCUGAACGAGCAACGCCGCGUGCAGGAAGAGGUUUCGGAUCGUAAACUGCUUUUCGUCGGGGAAGAGGAACGGACGGUACCCGAGGAAUCGAGCCCCGGCUACUACGCGCCAGCAGCCGCGGU
rnacentral:rRNA from 1 species